rnacentral:rRNA from 1 species
CGUGCACGCUGGCGGUAGGCCUAACACAUGCAAGUCGAACGGCAGCACAGUAAGAGCUUGCUCUUACGGGUGGCGAGUGGCGGACGGGUGAGGAAUACAUCGGAAUCUACUUUUUCGUGGGGGAUAACGUAGGGAAACUUACGCUAAUACCGCAUACGACCUACGGGUGAAAGCAGGGGAUCUUCGGACCCUGCGCGAUUGAAUGAGCCGAUGUCGGAUUAGCUAGUUGGCGGGGUAAAGGCCCACCAAGGCGACGAUCCGUAGCUGGUCUGAGAGGAUGAUCAGCCACACUGGAACUGAGACACGGUCCAGACUCCUACGGGAGGCAGCAGUGGGGAAUAUUGGACAAUGGGCGCAAGCCUGAUCCAGCCAUACCGCGUGGGUGAAGAAGGCCUUCGGGUUGUAAAGCCCUUUUGUUGGGAAAGAAAAGCAGCAGGUUAAUACCCCGCUGUUCUGACGGUACCCAAAGAAUAAGCACCGGCUAACUUCGUG